UCUUGCCUGCUGUGUGCAAUGCGACACAGGUUCAGACUGAUGAAGAUACAACUCAGAGGCACAGUGCCAAGGUUGCUUUUCUGUGAGAUGGAUGGUGAAGAUUCACUUACAGAGAAAUAGAAGCUAUCCUGAGAAGACAUACUGACCACAUUGUGUCCCAAGAGAAAUAAAAGCUGAUUUUUGGAAGAAGCAAUCCUGAGGAGUGCAGAGUAACUGCUUUUGUUACUGAAGUCUAUAGGAGUUGUACUGCACCAAACAAGAGCAAGCCUCUUU